rnacentral:rRNA from 1 species
AACGAACGCUGGCGGCAGGCCUAACACAUGCAAGUCGAACGCUCGUAGCAAUACGGGAGUGGCGCACGGGUGAGUAACGCGUGGGAACGUGCCCUUUAGUUUGGGAUAACAGCUGGAAACGGCUGCUAAUACCAAAUACGCCCUUCGGGGGGAAAGAUUUAUCGCUAAAGGAUCGGCCCGCGUAAGAUUAGGUAGUUGGUGGGGUAAUGGCCUACCAAGCCUACGAUCUUUAGCUGGUCUGAGAGGAUGAUCAGCCACACUGGAACUGAGACACGGUCCAGACUCCUACGGGAGGCAGCAGUGGGGAAUAUUGGACAAUGGGGGAAACCCUGAUCCAGCCAUGUCGCGUGAACGAUGAAGGCCUUAGGGUUGUAAAGUUCUUUUGUCAGGGAAGACGAUGACGGUACCUGACGAAUAAGCACCGGCUAACUUCGUGCCAGCAGCCGCCGUAA